UGCAGCGCUUAAUUGGUGGCGGGCAAUUACCCAAAACAAAACGCUGGAACGAGUGCUACACGAGAAACAAACAAUCAUCCCGUCCCCGGCAAACUUGGAUAAGUAUCAGAGGUGGAUAGUCCGGGACUCAAGGUGUAAAAGUCCUGCCAUGUGCUUCUUCCACCCACAUACUCAGCCAGCUCAUUUCACUGAUACCUUCUACCCCCUCCCCUGGCUGAAGAAUUUGUCCUAAUGAGCAAGGCAUGCUAAGAAGCUGGAAGAAUCCUACCCAUGAAAGCAUUUCUUCUUCACAGAAAAGAGAAGAGGUAAUAAAACGUACUGUACGCAAUCUCAAACCAUGAAUUUGUGAAGACUGAGGUUCCAUGACUGGCUGCGAAUCAGUCGUCUCAUUCAAUGGCCAUUUAUUAAAAUGACUGCAUGUUGGAUUGCAACACCUGAGGCAGCCUGUGCUCCAGUCUAAAAUUAGGUACGGAAAGCAACCUUUAUCAAUAACAUGCAUGGAGGAACCAGGACAAAGAAGAGCUUUGAAGAUAAUUUCCUUCCCACACACUCCUCAUCAAGUGUCAGUGAUUAGAAGUCCUUACAUUGCCAGGUGCACAUUAAUGUGUUCUUUUUAAAGGACGUGCACCUCCCUUUAUCCUACUUUAAUGCGGAUAAUCACUCUUGUGCCAUUUACCACGCAAGUUGUCGGACUGCAUCAUUAGACGUGCUACCGGAGGUUGACAGGGUGGAAAAAGUGACUGAAGCUCCACAGACUCACUGUCCCUUUUCGUAAGACUGCAGACCUUAAUCUUAACAAAAGUGCCAUGGGACCUUCCAAGCUCACGGUGACUAACAUUGGUAGCACACAGUACAAUGCCAGCGUUAAUUCAACUCUAACAGAGUAUAUAAGAGCCCAAUAGGACCCAUAUGUCCUCCAUAGGACAGGGAUCAUCAACUCUGGCCCUCGAAUCCAAAUCCAGCCCUGG